ACCUCGACAACUACACGUUCCUACCGUUCAGUGUAUUCCUUGCGUUUUUCUGGAUCUUCACGUAUAAGAAGGUCCCUGAAACCAAGAACAAGACCUUCGAAGAAAUAUUAGCAUUAUUCAGACAUACUAAUGGCCGGUACAACUGAUGAAUAUCCGUUUUACGUUUUAUCGACUGUAUUGCAUUUUAUCGUUUAUUUUUUUCUCAUUUUGUUGUUUGUGUGAAUCUGUGUGCGAGUAAAAAAAAACAGACGUAUUUGUAAUGUAGCAUUUUAAAGCGUCAGGAGUUUUUCUUUACUUUUACAAUACAGAAAAUGGAGGGGCUUCGUCCAUAACACCUUGUCGUACGGCUCAUGUUUCGUUGAAAGAAGAGCAUACUUAUGACUGCAUUAAAACGCCGAAAGCGAGAAUAAAGAAAUAACACGAAUGUUAAAAAAAGUCGCUUACAGUGACCGGUUUGGACUUAAAAAUGAUAAAA